CUUCCCGGUCGGCCAUCUUGGAUCACGGUCAUUCGUUAUGCUCCGAGAUACAGAGACACACUGACUCUUAUUCGGACUACCUCUGACCGAUCCGAUGGCUCAAGAAGACCGCUGACAGGUCUCCCCGGCCGGCCAUCUUGGAUCACGGUCAUUCGUUAUGCUCCGAGAUACAGAGACACACUGACUCUUAUUCGGACUACCUCUGACCGAUCCGAUGGCUCAAGAAGACCGCUGACAGGUCUCCCCGGUCGGCCAUCUUGGAUCACGGUCAUUCGUUAUGUUCCGAGAUACAGAGACACAUUGACUCUUAUUCAAUCGUAUCAUCGUUUGUGAUUAAAGACCAUAAACAAUCUACAAUCGAGGAGUUUUCUUCAUGAUACGAUCGUUUCGCCGCCAUGGUUGUCAUCGAAUGCACUGUACCCGACUGCGAGUUCAAGACCACCGACGCGUCCGAGGCUGUGGCAAUUGCCCUAUUGGCCAACCACAACCUGGUCCACAGAAAUGAGGCUCAACCCGGGCGCCUACCAGCCAACACAGCUCCCAAAGGGCCAAAACUAGACCGGCCGAAGAUUGACGUCGGCGUAACAAUGGAAGAGUGGAACAUCUUUACACGAAGAUGGGAAGUGUUCCGAGCAGGCUCUGGGAUUGACGAAAAUUCAGCCCCAUCACAGCUUUUCCAGUGCGCUGGCACUGAGCUGGGAGACAGCAUCCUCAAGGCUAACCCCAAUGCUGCAAACGAGUCACUAACCCAACUGAUGGAAGCCAUGCGAUCCCUCGCCAUUAUCCCCAUUGCUACCUGUGUGCUCCGCACUGAACUCCUCCAGAUGCGACAAGAGCGAGACGAGUCAUUCAGGUCCUUCACGGCCAAAGUAAGAGGCAAAGCCGAAACCUGCGCCUACAACGCGAAGUGCUCAUGUAAUCGUCCCGUCGACUACACAGACCAUGUAAUCCGUGACGUCAUCAUUAACGGACUAUACGAUAACGAGAUUCGGAGGGAAGUCCUGGGCAUUGACGGUAUCCUGGAGAAGCCGAUAAAUCAAGUCAUCGCCGUAGUAGAGAGUAAAGAAAUGGCACGCAACGCCCUGCCCCCUUCCCCCUCAUUAUCCGCCCUCUCAUCCUUCCAGAGACAGAAAACAAACUCACCGCACCCUGCCCCAAGCCCCCCUCAAGCGGAUCAGGCGAAAGAAGCAACAUGCCCCGGAUGUCAAAAGACAUUCAAGCUGUUUACCGAAGGAGCUCGCGGAUGGAACAAAAAACCGCACCAGCUGUGCAUCGACUGUCAUAGGGUGAACCGGCGAUCAAGACGCCCACAGCGACAGCCUCAACAACGCUCGCCCCAGGCCCCGACGGUCCAUGUCAACCAAGCAGAGCCGAUUGCUCAGAUAUCAUCCCUCCACGGUGAGACGAAACAAGAUACCCGCCCCACCACACACGCCACCACGGCCAAGCGGCCCGUACGUCUAGACCACCACAUCUUCUCCAAGGGAGAAUGGAAGCGAGCCCGCUUCAGGGAUCACCCCAGGGUACCAAUCACAAUCUCGCUCGCACGAAAGGGCAGACAUCGGAAGGAAACCGCCGACACCACCCCCGACAUACACGCCGCCGUGUCUGCCAUAGCAGACACCGGAGCACAAUCCGACCUAUGGUCCCUGGCGGACUUCUUAGCAUGUGGCUUCUCGAGAGAAGAGCUCCAACCCAUCAGACCUAGCCUAACGGCGGCUAAUAACUCGCCCAUAUCCAUAGAAGGGGCGUUCUUCGCCAAACUUAGCGCAACAUCCUACAGUGGACAAUCCACGACGUCAUUCUCCAUGGUGUACGUGAGCAGCUCGGUACGAGAUAUGUACCUUUCUUACGACUCGCUUCUGAACCUAGACCUCCUGCCGCACUGUUUCCCACGCCCUGAUGACGUCACAGAGGCCUCUAACGAGCGACGACCCGCCUCACAAAAUAAAACCCGCCCCAACUACACCUCGCCAACCACCAAUGCCGCUCGCAUCGUCAACGAAGGAUGUACCAAACCUGCCUCUGAACAUGACGUCACAUGUUCGUGCCCCCAGCGUGAGACAACCCCACCACGCCCUUCAGAGCUGCCGUUCCCCUGCACACCAGCGAACAACACUAAGAUGAAAGCCUGGCUCCUGAACAGAUACGCCUCCUCCACGUUUAAUACCUGCCCUCACCGAGCACUCCCUUGCAUGGAGGGCCCGCCCGUAGAGAUCCACGUGGACCCCACCUCCAAACCCACUGCCUGCCACACACCGGCCAAUAUACCCCUCCACUGGCAAAAACGCGUGUACGAAGACCUCCUCCGUGAUGAAGCCCUUGGCGUGGUAGAGCGAGUCCCAUAUGGCGAACCAGUCACGUGGUGCCACAGAAUGGUAGUCACACGGAAGCACGAUGGAUCACCUCGCCGCACAGUGGACCUCUCACCACUCAACAAGUACUGCCAACGCGAGACGUAUGCGACGGAAUCACCGUUUCAACUCGCGCGGCGCAUUCCCAACGACACAUGGAAGACCGUGACCGACGCAUGGAACGGUUACCACAGCGUACCCUUACGCUUAUCAGACCGCCACCUGACCACCUUUAUCACUCCAUUUGGCCGCUGGCGCUACACACGGGCACCCCAAGGCUUCCUCUCCUCGGGGGAUGGAUACAAUCGGAGGUUCGACGCCAUCCUAGCUGAAUUUGAGCGCAAAGAACGAUGCGUCGACGACACGGUGCACUACGACCAUGACCUCACUCGCGUCGGACAGGCUGGGAUAGUCCUCAAUCCCGACAAAUUUCAGUUCGCCGGGAGGAGCGUGGACUUCUCGGGAUUCCACGUCUCAGACCACACCAUUGAGCCACUCCCGAAAUACCUCGACGCCAUCAGAGAAUUUCCCACCCCAACUAGCACGACAGGCAUCAGAAGCUGGUUUGGCCUGGUGAACCAAGUGUCCAAUUACGCGCAACUCCGCGAUCUGAUGGCACCCUUUAAGCCAUUCCUGAGUCCCCGCCACAAGUUCUUAUGGUCAUCCGAGCUCGAAGGAGCAUUUCAAGCCUCCAAAGAACAAAUUGUCAAAGCCAUCCGCGAGGGAGUGGAGAUUUUUGAUAUACAUAAGCGCACCUGCCUACGCCCCGAUUGGUCCAAGCGAGGGAUCGGAUACUUUUUACUACAGCAGCACUGCAGUUGCUUCUCCGGCAUGCCCGACUGCUGUCCCGGGGGAUGGGGAAUCACCCUCGCCGGCUCCCGCUUCCUGUCGCCCGCCGAACAACGCUACGCUGCCAUCGAGGGAGAGGCCCUCGCCGUUGCUUGGGGCCUGGAACAGACCCGCUACUUUACACAAGGGUGCGACAACCUUGUGAUCAUCACCGACCACAAACCCCUGGUAAAGAUCUUCGGCGAUCGCACCCUGGAUGAAAUCUCGAACUCGCGACUCUUCCGCCUCAAGCAGCGCACCCUACCAUGGCGUUUCGAGAUACACCACCUGCCCGGAAAAAGCAACUACGCAGCAGAUGCCACAUCUAGACACCCAUCCCAGUCAAACACGGAAGAGAAAGCCCCCCUAUGCUCGGCGAGUCCCCCUGACGCCGCAGAGAUUGCGCUAAUGACCGCCAUACGGGACACUGCCCAAGAGCUAGGCGCCAUCUCCUGGACCCUCCUCGCGCAGGAAACAGCCGCAGACGCUCGCAUGGGCAAUCUUCUCCACUCUCUCGAGCAAGGAACCCAACUUAACAAAGAUGACCCCACCCUGGCAAACCUUGGACCCAUUUACGAAUCCAUUUACCAGGAGGAGGGCGUCCUCAUGUACCAAGAUCGAGUGGUGAUCCCCCCAUCCCUACGUCAGCGGGUACUCCAGAGCCUGCACGCCGCUCACCAAGGAACCUCAUCGAUGGAACAGCGGGCCCGGUCCAUCGUAUACUGGCCUGGCAUGUCGAAUGACAUACGUGUCACCAGGGAGAAAUGCCACGACUGUAACAGGAACGCGCCGUCACAGGCCAGAACCCCCCCUCUUCCCACUGCGCCACCAUCAACCCCGUUCGAAGCAGUGUUCGCCGACUUCUUCGACUACAAAGGUUACCAUUACCUCGUCGUAGGAGACCGCCUCUCUGGCUGGGUAGAAGUCUUAAGUUCCCCAGCCACGACCAACCUUGCAGGAAGCACAGGAUUAAUUCGCCACCUCCGCACCUUCUUCGCCACGUUCGGCGUACCCGAGGAGCUCUCGAGUGACGGAGGCCCAGAGUUCACCGCCAAGUCUACGGAGGACUUCCUACGAACCUGGGACGUCAAACAACGUCUGUCUUCAGUCAGCUUCCCACAGUCCAACGGCAGGGCCGAGGUGGCAGUUAAAACUGCAAAGCGUCUGCUGCUAUCCAACACUGGUCCCACGGGAAGCCUUGACCAGGACCGAUUCCUGAGAGCCAUCCUACAGCUGCGGAACACACCCGACCCGGACUGCAGUUUAUCACCGGCCCAGAUCAUUUUUGGGCGCCCCCUGAGGGACACACUCGCAUUUGUCAACCGCCUGGAGAAGUUCUCCAACCCCCACAUACGACCCCUCUGGCGUCAGGCAUGGGCGGCGAAGGAGGACGCACUCCGAACGCGGAUCUCCCGCACAACAGAGUCCCUCAGAGAGCACGCGCGACCCCUCCGCCCCCUCGCCAUCGGCACAAGAGUCUUCCUGCAGAACCAGCAGGGCCCUAACCCGAACAAGUGGGACAGAUCAGGGGUAGUCGUCGAAGCAGCAGGACACGAUCAAUACCGUGUGAAGGUAGAUGGCUCCGGACGCGUAACACUACGAAACCGCCGCUUCCUACGUGCGUACACACCAGCCUUACCAACCAUACCUAAGGCGCCGUCAGGGGCCCCAGCAAAGACACCAUCAAUGGCUCCAGCCGCCCCAUCCCCGCCCUCUCAAACAUGUCACCAUACUAAUAGGACGGCGACACCAGCCACCACACCAGGUGUUCCCACCCCUGACCUCGCCACAGCCGCCCUAGCACUACAAGUAUCGCCUGAAGAACCUGACGCUGCUGAAGAGAAGCAAGGACCCUCAACACCUGAAGCGAUGACCCUGCCGUCCCCACCCAACGCAGCGGCACGCCCCCGUCGCACCAUACGACAAACAGUUUGAACCUGAGACAGGGACAUGGACCGAAUGAGUCCUCACCCCUAUGCCCCACCAUCAUUGUGACAUUGGUCCUCGGACUGGGGGGGAUGAAGGAACUACCUCUGACCGAUCCGAUGGCUCAAGCAGACCGCUGACAGGUCUCCCCGGUCGGCCAUCUUGGAUCACGGUCAUUCGUUAUGCUCCGAGAUACAGAGACACACUGACUCUUAUUCAUUAAAGCAAAAACAUUAUCCGAUAAAGGACAUUCAUUCAAAAGCAACCAGUACUUUGACGUAUCCAGUUAAAGUACACUAACCAAGCAACAAAACAACCAAACACUAAAAAACAAUUUAAAAGCAACCACUACCUUGACGUAUCCAGUUAAAGUACAUCAACCAAGCAACAUAACAACCAAACACUAAAAAACAAUUUAAAAGCAACCACUACUUUGACGUAUCCAGUUAAGAACUUUCAACGAACUUUUUAAGUAAUCAAACUAUGGCUUACGUUACCCCAUCCAAAUCUACAAAGCGCGUAAACUACCUGUUGCACUUCCCUCACUAUUUUCUGCGGCCAUACAAGGGACAUGGCUGUUAAGGCCAGGCGUGGCGCUUUCAGAACUGGCCCAAUGUGUCAACGAAAAUAUCGACAUUAUUAACAAUACGGACAUUUUACGAAACAUAGAACCGAUUACUGACAAACUACAGCCUUUACGACAGUUGACGUUUGAGCUAACUCAAACAAUGGCCUACCUUCCUACACCACACAUUGAGAUCAGCACAUCAUGUGGCACAACACACACGUUGAUCCAGCUCAAUAUAUAUAUACUACCAGGAGUUUAUAGCUAGUCUUGAUUUCUGAGGACUUCUGUUGAGCUGGCUCAAACUAUGGCCUAACUCCGUACACCACAUAUUGACUCAUCAUGUGGCAGAGCUCGGGUGGGCCACAUGUUGAGCAGGCUCAAAAUAUGGCUUACUUUUCGAAUGGGUUAGCCUUGAUGUCUGAGGACACAUGUUGAGCUGGCUCAAACUAUGGCAUACCUUCCUAUUGAGUUCAACUUAUCAUGUGACCACAUUUUGAGCCAAAGGAACAUACUCUUUCUAAUACUAUUAUAUGCCUUUAAGAAGCCAAACUAAAAUCAUCAUCUCCAUUUAUUUUUUUAUAAAUUUUUCUUUUUUUUUUCUUUUUAUCUUAUUUGUAUUGUUUUUAAUUUCAAUUUGGAAUAUAUUGGAAAGCGCUACUGGAUUUUAAAGAAAUAGCUCUAAACAAAUGUGUAUUAUUAUAACAAGCAAACUUUCUGCAUUUUUACAACCCAUUUACUUAUUUGUAUGUGUUCCAAGAAGUAUAUGUCAUAUUUCCAAAAUAUCUUCUUUUCAACACCCUUCUCACACAUGAUUCUACAAAAGAGGAGAGAUGAAGCAUCUAUUAAAUUUCUAUUAAAAAGUGGUCAAAAUUGACAUCUAUGAUAAAGGCACCACAAUAUCACUUUUAUUGGUCAGUUUCUCACGAAACUUGGUACAAACAUUCUCACAUGUGUUGUUGACAUGUUAGUGAGCUGACAUGUAAAUAUUAAUUUAUUUCUAGUUAAAUAUUAACUCUCAAAGAGAAUGACCAGGAUUUCUAUAUCAAACCUGCCCUCCGUAUUUUUUUCAGUUUCUUUUUACAAUAAUGGCUUCUAAUUGGUCAUACUUAUCAGUCACAUAGGGGAAGACAAUCCUAUGGGGCAGUUUGUUGAUUACCCAAAUCUGGUAACCAUAGCAACCAGCUGGUUCUUGUAAAGAUUCAAACCAGCAUAACAUUGAUUCAAAUAUAUUUCUCACAAAAUGCCUCCAUAGGUUUGUAGUAUGGACCAUACACUAACAGCCUGCCAAAUUUGAGUUCAAACGGAUAAAUCUAUGGCUAGUUAUUUAAGGGGGGCAACAUAGAAAUACCUAAAUUAGCUAAUUUGAGAAAACCUCAAGUAAACAUUGAUCAAUAGCACAAUCGAAGGGUACAAAAAAAAUAAAACUUCACUUAAUUUGCCCUUUAUUAACAGGAAUACAUUUAUUUUGCUUACUAACAUUGAUACAUCAUCAAAUUUAAUCAUCCAGAAUGAAAAUACCAUUAAUUUGCACAAAAUAUUAAUUACCCAAAAUGCAAUGCGGGUGUGGCCAUUCAUAGAAUAUUCUUUGUACAUUGGAAUUAUUGCAACAACGUGAUGUAAAAAUAUAAAAAAAAAACUAAAGUUAUCAUAAAAGGCCAUUAUAUCUUCAUGCUGUUGUGGUGAGAGCUGGUAAAUUGUAUGCUUUCUCUUUUUCUUCUGCUUUAGGUCACCACAAAUGGUCCUCACGGUCUUGGCAUACACAACUGCCUCUUUGUUGUCUAGUUUAUACGUCAUGUCUAUGAGGUUAUCACGAAGAAAAAAGUUGAAAACUAAGGCCCUUUUGAUAAGCAGCAUUGUAAUCAUCUAAAACAUGUUCAUUGAGAACAAUUGCACCAUCACUAGAAACUUUGAACAAAUAAUAAUCAUAUGCAUUGUCGUCUUCUGCUGCGAUUGCGACAACACUCCCGGCUUUCACAAUGCUAGCCAUUCCAUUGACAGACAUGUCAAUUUCUCCUGACUCCUGAUUUUGCCUUGUUGUUGCAACAGCUUCUUCUCUGGUUAAGAUGAUCUCUUUCCACUCGUCUACAAACUCCCGGUUUUCACACUCUUCUCCUUCGAUGCAUCCAAAGCACAGACAACUUCUUAGCCUUGUGGAGAUCUUACAUUGAACAGGUGUUGUCUUCACUGAGUGUAGUUUCCUGAUUCCCUUCAAUUCUUUGAAUGUGCGAUCACUGCGUCGAGCUACUGCACCUUCCCCCUUUACAGGUAUGUGAAAGUAGAUUCUCUUGCUAAGCGAGGUGUUGGAGGUGGUAGGCAGUGUAAACUUGCUGCUGAGAUAGUCAUGCAAUUGUUUUGCAGACUUAAUAGUUGCUCUUCCCCGGAUAACAGCUAAGGUGGCUCUUUGCUUAAUGUUUGCACCAGCAGCAUCUUGCUCACCUUUAGCAUGAGAGGUUUCAAAGAAAUGGCGGUCAAUUUGGCAACCAAAGUCAGAGAGGCAGCAUGAUAAGUCCCCAAAUGUGUGCUUUGACUUAUACUGUCCAGCACAGCCAUCUGUAAACUCAUUUACCUUUUCCACUGGCACUUUCAAAUCAUCCCUCAGGUACUUCAAGAUGAGCUCUUGGGUGUGAUGAACAAAAUGAUAGUCCUGGGAGUGAUCUUCCAAUAAUGCAAAAAAAAUGCUCCUUGACUAAUACAGGGUUCUUCUUUGUGCUUGUUUGACCAUCAACAUGAAGACUAGCAUGGCGAAAGACAACAGAAACAUGUAUAGUUACUUUAAAGGAAUCAAAAUAUUCCGACUGGGUCACAUUUUGGGAGCGACCGGUAUAAUUUUCUGAAAAAUCAUGAACACAAAUUAUGAUUGAGAGGUAGGUUCUUAACUAGACAGCCGAACUGUUUCUUCUGCCACUUUGCCAUAAAAGAAUGGUAGGGAUACUCUUUUAGCAGCUGUAGGAAGUAAUCAAACAUAGCUUUUACAGACGUUUCUUUAGAAACCAAAGCUAUUUUCUUUUUCUCCUCGCCAUUCUUGUCUUCAUAUGUCACAUAUUCAUAUCUCUUCCACUUCACUUGUGUUUCCGUGGAAUUUUCCUCCUCAGAUGUCUUAAAUGUGUAAGUACCACAGUUUUCACAUUCUCUAGUCAAGCAUUUAGUAGCAUGAUACUUGGACUCCUCUUCUCGCUCACAAAGUGUGCUGUCUGCUGCCUGUGUUAGAAACUCAAAAGUGCAGACAUCGUUACUUUUAGCUUGCUUUCUAAAUUUCAUGCAACUGUCGAAAACAAGUCGGCACUCGACAUGUUUUCGGCACAGACAAGACUGUCUGUCCCUUUCCCUAGCCCCGCUCACGAAAAAUGGCUUGAGCUGCUCAAAGCGCCGUUGUUUUAUUUUGAUUUCUGGGUGCAACUGCUGAAACUCGAUUUAGCACUCGCGCUGUGUGUUUUUUAAAGUUUUUUUUUGGGAUGCCCCACAUAUUCAUUCUUUCCUGUCCUGCAUAACUCUUUUUACUACCUAAUAUCAAAUUUUUGGAACCAACUACCUAACUCUGCUAAAGCUGCUAAUUCCUUCUCUGAGUUCCGCAAGAACCUACCCGACAUCAUUCCACACGGCUGCCAAUGCAGCAACUGUAUUUAAAUUCUCCCUAUUUCCCAUAAUUAGAAUUAUUAUGUAAUGUGUAAUGUAAUCGUUGUCAGUAGUGUUGUCGAGCGUUUGUACCAUGAGCUCCCCGAGCUCGGGAGACUGGGUGACCACUCCUCACGUCAUCGACGGAAAAUAAAUCAUUGUUGUUGUUGUUGUUGUCCUUUGCCGCACUUUGUCAUUGGCUGCCCCAGUUGGCCGACUUGCUUGAUUUGACCAGUAGUCACAAAUCAACCUCUUGUCUUCCUCUUUGACAGCAUCAGACCUCACAUUUCUUCGUGUAACAAGCCAGCAGGCUGUGUCACCCUUGAGCACUUUUUCACGAUGGGCAAUGGCUUUUGACACCUGUUGUCGCUUGAUCCCUACCAUCUGCGCAACUCGUUGUUGGUGGCGGUUCUUCUUGAUAGACGAUCCAAAUGCAAGAGAGCGAGCUGCAGAAUAUGCUGCUCUUUCAUCUACUGCUUUAGACUGCUUCACUUUACUAAGCCCCUCUGACAUGUCCUCCAGCAGGCUUUGCACUGCCUCAGCUUUUUUCUUGUCCUCAUCGGUACGAAGGACAUUUUUCCUUUCCAGAAUUUUUUUUGUUCUUGGGCUGUUAACAAGAUUUUCCAAAACCUCUGCUUUUUUUGCUGGGCUUGUUGGAAGGGAAGGCGAGACCUUGUCUUUUGCUCGUUUUCUGGUCAUUCUUGAUGAGAACGCGGGAGUCAUGAACUCGACUUCCGGUUCCGGUCCGGACUCUUCUGCGAGCUUUCUUUUGCGAAGUUCCUGCAUACGAUUCCUUGCCUGUUUUCUCUGUGUUUCCUUCCUUAAUUCCUCUUCCUGUUUUCUAAUCUUUGCCCUCAAGACAGACGCGGUAUUGCGAUCUUUCGGUGCUUGCCUUUUCUUUUCAUUGCGUGUUUGUACAGAGGGUUUCGCAGCCCGCUUGGCUCGUAGUUUUCUCAUUCUCUCUUUAGCUUUUUCUGCUAACUCUUCUCGAUUCUUCUCAUAGUAUUCCCUCUUGCUUUGAACCUUUUUUUCUUUCUUCUUUUUUCUCCAUGCAGACACUGAAUAUGGUGAAGAUUCCAUCGCUAGAAGUUCUAUAAAGUACGAUGUUUCGCGCGGGUUGAUCCCACGUGCGUUUGUAAGUCACGCAAUAUUCCGUUACGCAACAUUAGAACUUCCUCCUCACCAGCCUCUCUCUAUUGAGGUUUUCUAUUGUUUAAAAGCCCUAGUUUAUUUACGGGUCCACCCCUAACAUUUUAGCAAAGGAAAGUCUUCGAUCGAACAAGAAAUGGCUGCCCUACGGCACCUCAAGCGCCGUGUGUUUUUGAGCCAUUUAACUUCGGCGCUGGAACAACAUAGUAAACUGACACCACUAAAACACAGAGGAAGCAAGGAUGCAAUAAUUUUGUGUUCGGGGUUCUAUAAAUCGUGUUUUUUUUACCGAUUCAUGGCUUUGAAGCGGAGUCACUUCGUGCUACAAGAAAAGUCAAGAUAUGAGAACCAUUGUGCGUGUGUUGAUUCGGUCAUGCGGGACUUUAUUUUGGUGAUUUGCUUUUUGGAUAUAUCUGGCAACAGCUUUGAAUAAUUUAAGAGUGCAAUUUGGCGUUCGGGGUAGCAUAUUCUCUGUAUUUCUGAAGCGACGUUAAAUCGUAGAGCGCUGGAAUUUUCAGCGAUGUAAGUAAAUCCUAUGAGAAUUAUUGUAAUUUUUUUUCUAGUGGAAAUUCAGCAAAUUUCCGCUUCAAACAUCCAUUUGUUUUUAUUGGGCCAUUCAACAAUUUGAAAGCGUAACAUGCAUUGUGCUGAUUUUAUUUACCACAAUAAAGGCAAUUUGUCGCAUUUGUCUACCUUUAUUUUAUUGUAUAUAUGUAGUUUAGAUUUAAAAAUAUUACUUACCUUGGAAAUUACUUGAUUUAUGUUAACUUUUCCGCAGUUUCUUAUAUAAUGCUGAAUGAUAUUAUUGUUUGCGUGUUACGCGUAACAUGCCAUUUAGCGUGAAAUUUUAAUAAGUUAAAAUCGUUAAAAAAAAUUACAAAGCAACAACUCCUAAUAUUUUUCAUAAACAUUGAUUAGAUAUAUACAAACAUUUGUGCAAAGUUUCAUUUGAAUAUUUCAUUCCUUUCUGCGUUUUUUUAGUGCAGAACGACAGUAACCACUACUUGUCCCUCUCAAUCGUGCUAUUGAUAAUUGAAAAUGUGUUAGGUAAACAACCUAGUAAUGAAAUAAUUUCAAUUCUUCUAAUAUAAAGCUGUCCACCCUGAAUAUGUUCUUUAUCAAUGUUUUCUGGCCCUUUUCCUUUUCUUCUUGCCAGUUGUUGACUCAGAAUCAAGUCCCAGCUCAUUAAAGCCUCCUGCCUCAUAUGUUGUCCCUUCACGUUCUCGCCUAAGUUCCUCGUCCCUCUUCCUUGCUAAACUCCUUGCCUGUCUAUACUUUUUGUGUUGGUCACUAGCUCUCCUUCCUCCCUUUUUCCUUAUCCCUUCUUUUGCUUUCUUUCUCUGUGUAACUCCCAACUCGCAGCCCCGCCCUUCUCAUAAUUUCGUGUUUCGCUGUUGCUCCACAGCUAAAGUGAAUGGCUGCAGCAUCAGCAGCCAUUUCGAUUCUUUCUCGUCCAUGCCAUUUAUGCUUGGGGCACCUGACCCACACCAAUGCAUUCACAGAUUCAUUGACAUUCUGUGUGUAGCCAGGGAGGCACCUAGUUAAUAGGGCUGAUUCUGUCAAGCGUGUAUAAACUGGCUCCAGACAUUUGACAAAUAUUGGGUCCAGAUGAUAUUCUUUAUCCUUGCAUGGUAGCCCUUUCUUGUAUUUGCACCAAGAGUUCAUAGGGCAAAACUGAUGCCUUUGCUGAUCUGGGAUCUUGGUGCAGUGAUACAGGGAUGCUUUGAUAGCAGUUCUCAUCUUUGCGAUUUUUGUUUUGUUUUUGUUCACAUUGUUUCUUAUUGCUUUUCCAUAAAACUUUUUCAGUUUUUCAAUGGCAGUUUUUGUUAGUCGGCCAGACCUUUCUUUAACUGGUUUGCCAUCAGCCAACUUAGUUGUUGCUGACUGAAAGUCAUAUAGAGCCUUUCCCAUGCGUUUUUGCACGUGACCGAUGCAGUCAAGCUUGACUACUCGGUUACAGUUAGCACUGCCAUCCAAGUGACUGGUCUCCCAAAGCUUGAAUUGUUCUGAGUUAACCCAUUCCUUGCACUCCUCACUUGCUUUACUCAGGGAUUCAUACCGAUUACAUGUGUCACAUGCCCCAUAUUGAUUCCAAAUGGAGGCAUAGGACUUGGAGUCCCCGUCACAAAUCAUGUAUUUAUACAUGAGAUGAUAUGUGAGUCUCCGCCCCCAUAACCUCUUGGCACAUUCUUUCUCCAUACUAGGGCUAGAGCCAUCAAAGCUUCCUAAACACUCAUAUGACUCCAUAUGGCUUCAUAGUCCUCGGAAGAUAGUGAGGUUUUCUUCUGGUCACAAAUGUGACAUGUUUUUGACAAGACCUCAAAAUCUAUAACUUUGCCGGUAGCAAUGGAUAUCACAAAUCCAACACCAUGGUUGGCUGUAAAUCCCCGCUUUGACCAUGUCCCAUCAAAACUAACAGGGAUACGAACAUUCAGUAGUGGAUCAUCCUCAGGCAAACCUUGGUCUUGGAUCGCAGCAUUUCUUGCUUCCUCUCUGUUUUUACCAAGCACCUCAGCAGUCUCUUCCUUUGUUAUGUUGCAUAAAAGUUUUUGGUGAGUAUACCACGUGUUUUUAGCCAUUGAAAAGGGCAUGUUCAAAAUUUCACAAAGUUUAGCCACUGCUUCUCUUCCAAUCCCAAUUUCAGUGGAUGCAUAAACAAUCCUUCUAUUUAUAUCCUUGCCCUGGUUUGUUCUUGGUGCAGUUCCAUCCCCCGUGUGCUCUCCCGUGGGCAAGAACUCUGCCAUCUCACUGUCAGGACAAUUAACAAACAAACUACUGCUCAUUCCAUGCCGAUUUGUGGUCAUUUCUUUUAGCUUUAAGUGACCUAGGAAAUAAAGAAAAGGCAGGGAAUAUCAGAUACAUAUUUUUGCUAGUUUUUCAAAUAAAGAGAAAGGGGUAGCAAAUAAUGCGAGAAACACCAGGAUCAACAAACAAAUUUUAGAAAGUUACCUGCAUCACAAGUUGAGUUUGCAUGUACUCGUUUGACAAAGUUCAGGAGGCUUUGCAUCGGGACAAGGCGAUAUCCCUCAGCCGAUUCACCCCCAGCGUCAAGGCAAUCUAGACUGUCAUCAGAAGAGUAAUCUACGCUAACAUCCUGAAGUUUUUGAGCAGAAGCGCUUGGUUGAGGUGGGGGAACUUGUUCGCUCACAACAUCAUCGUCACCGACGAACGAGAUUUCAGUAACAUGUCUUAUUUCGGGCUUCUUGUCUUGUCUCUUCGUUUCUUUGAACUUAGUAGAGCAUUGUUUGGAGUCCCUGUGGAAGGACUGGGACUAGCCCGGUCAGAACUCAUUGUAGUUCUUUAUCAUUCCGUUCGUUCAUGUAAUAAAACAUCAUUGCAAACAGGAAAAAGAAGCACUCUUAUCUAUGAUAAAGAACUACCUACCUCCCAAAGACAUUGAGGAACUCAGAUACAGGAUAACCAAGCAGAAAAGAAGCAGAAACAGCCCACAACAACAGCAAAA